rnacentral:rRNA from 1 species
GACGUAGGGCGCGAGCGUUGUCCGGAUUUAUUAGGGGCGUAAAGAGCUCGUAGGCGGCUUGUCGCGUCGACUGUGAAAACCCGCGGCUCAACUGCGGGCCUGCAGCCGAUACGGGCAGACGUAGAGUUCGGUAGGGGAGACUGGAAUUCCUGGAUGUAGCGGUGAAAUGACGCAGAGUAUCAGGAGGAACACCGGUGGCGAAGGCGGUUCUCUGGGACGGUACUGACGCUGGAGACGCGAAAGCGUGGGGAGCGAACAGG